AUGAGUUGCCUCUCAUGGAACUGCCGGGGGCUUGGGAACCCCGAGGCAGUUCGAGAGCUUCGCAACAUUGUGAAUCUAGAAGGACCCACUCUUCUCUUCGUCAUGAAAACAAAAAUUAAGGGGAAGAGAGUCGAGGACUUGCAGAGACAUAUAGGCUUUGGCAGGUGCUUUGCAGUGGAUAGUGUAGGCCUUAGUGGUGGCAUUGGGCUUUUUUGGUCACAUGAGGUUAUUGUCGAUCUAAAAAAUUAUAGUUCUAGACACAUUGAUGCUACUGUUAAAUACAAAGAUCAAAACUCCUUUUAA
rnacentral:rRNA from 1 species